AUGACCGCGCGCGCGUCUCUCCUCGCGUUAAACGACAACGGGAGCCUCCAAACGGAUUUACGAGAGAAAACACUGUUGAUUCCUGCGUCCGCGGACGGAGCUGCUCCGGGGAAAUGCAGAGACACGGAGGCGAGCGUCAGCAGCGAUAGAACGCGCAGGUGGGAUGUCGUGAAUCUGUCGGGCGAGUCAGGUGCCGAUGGGAGCUGCUGCAGCAUCAUGAGCUGCCAUGAUGCCGGAGGGCGCCGGCGUUACGAGGACUCGGAGUUCACGUUGCACGUGUAUCCCGGCGCUCUGUCCGAGGGCACCAUCUACUGCCCCGUCUCGGCACGGAAGGUGACGUCGGCAGCGGAGGUCAUCGAGCGCGUCAUCGAGCGACUGCAGCUGGACCGCGCGCGCUUCUACGUGCUCGCCGAGGUCAAGGAGUUCGGCGGCGAGGAAUGGAUCCUGAACCCCUGCGACUGUCCCGUACAGCGCAUGAUGCUGUGGCCGCGCAUGGCGCUGGAGAACCGGCUGGCCGGAGACGAUUACCGCUUUCUGCUGCGCGAGAAGGAUCUGGAUGGAUCCAUCCUCUAUGGAAACCUGCAGAUGUGGCUCCGCGUAACUGAGGAGCGGCGGCGGAUGGUGGAGCGUGGACUCCUCCCGCAGCCUCCGUACGUCGACGAUCUCUGCGCGCUGCCUGAUCUAAACGAACGCACUUUGCUGGAGAACUUGCGUGGACGCUUUCGGCAGGAGAAGAUUUACACGUACGUCGGCGGGAUCCUGAUCGUCGUCAACCCCUUCAAGUUCCUGCCCAUCUAUAACCCCAAAUACGUUAAGAUGUACGAUAAGCAGCGGCUGGGGAAGCUGGAGCCGCACAUUUACGCGGUGGCUGACGCGGCGUAUCACGCCAUGCUGCAGAGGAGGAGGAACCAGUGCAUCGUGAUCUCGGGAGAGAGCGGAUCAGGAAAGACGCAGAGCACCAACUUCCUCAUCCACCACCUGACAGCGCUCAGCCAGAAGGGCUUUGCCAGCGGCGUGGAGCAGAUCAUCCUCGGGGCCGGACCUGUGCUGGAGGCUUUUGGAAAUGCCAAAACGGCCCAUAACAAUAAUUCCAGCCGCUUUGGCAAGUUUAUUCAAGUCAACUAUCAGGAGAGCGGGACUGUGAGAGGAGCUUAUGUGGAGAAGUAUCUUCUGGAAAAAUCCCGACUGGUUUAUCAGGAGCACAAUGAGAGGAACUAUCAUGUGUUUUACUACCUGCUGGCUGGAGCGAGUGAAGAAGAAAGAAAAACAUUUCACCUCCUUAAACCAGAGGAGUAUCAUUACCUGAACCAGAUAACAAAGAAAGUCCACAGACAGCACUGGGGAAAUUACUGUGAGACCGAGCUGGACUGUUUCACGGUGGAGGGUGAAGACCUGAAGCAUGACUUUGAGCGACUGCAGCUGGCCAUGGAGAUGGUGGGCUUCCUGCCGACCACCAGAAAACAAAUCUUUUCUUUACUGUCUGCGAUUCUUCUCCUGGGAAAUAUCCGUUACAAGAAGAAGACGUUCAGAGACGACUCCAUCGAUAUCAGCAACCCGGAGGUGCUUCCUAUCGUCUCUGAACUGCUGGAGGUGAAGGAGGAGAUGCUUUUCGAGGCUCUGACCACACGAAAGACGGUGACGGUGGGCGAGAGGUUGAUCGUGCCGUACAAACUGGCCGAGGCGGGGACGGUGAGGGACUCGAUGGCCAAAUCUCUGUACGGCGCUUUGUUCGACUGGAUCGUCUUCCGCACAAACCACGCACUGCUCUACAACAAAGACCUGGAGGAUUCAGACAAGAUCCUGUCCAUCGGUGUGCUAGACAUCUUUGGCUUUGAGGACUACGAGAACAACAGCUUCGAGCAGUUCUGCAUCAACUUCGCCAACGAGACGCUGCAGCAUUACUUCAACCAGCACGUCUUCAAGCUGGAGCAGGGUGCCAUUAUUAGUGGCUACACACUGUAUGUAUACAGUAUAGUGUGUAUGCAUGUGCUGUCUAUGACAUGUCUGUUGUGUCUGCAGGACUUCAGGGAGAAGAACACGGAUCACAUGCGUCCAGAUAUCGUGGCUCUGCUGAAGAGCAGCCGGAACGCUUUCAUCUGUGGCCUGAUGGGAAUCGAUCCGGUGGCCACCUUCCGCUGGGCCGUGAUCCGGGCUUAUUUCCGAGCACACGUCGCCUUCAGAGAGGCCGGGAAACGGCACAAGGAGAAGAAGACGACGAAGACGAGCUCUGAUGGUCCGGUUCAGAAUCAGAAAAGUGUGGACAGCUUCAGUUUCCUGCAUCAUCCUGUUCACCAGCGGAGCCUUGAGAUCCUGCAGCGAUGCAAAGAUGACAAAUACAGUAAGAUGACAGAAAUAACACACUUCAGCAGAUCUACAGUCAUCCAAAACAAUCGCGUCUCCUCGCUCUCGUCUCAUGAGGAGGAGGGCAUCUUCGUGAACUCGGGGGAUAAUAAGCUGCUGGAGCGAGCGCAGGGCAUCCUGAUUCCUGUCCCGUGUGUGACGCAGGUGUCUCUGAAUAAGCUGAUGGAGACUCUGGGACAGUCGGAGCCGUACUUUGUGAAAUGCAUCCGCUCUAAUGCGGAGAAGCUUCCUCUGCGUUUCAGCGACGUGCUGGUGUUGAGACAGUUACGCUACACCGGGAUGCUGGAGACGGUGAGGAUACGCCGCUCCGGAUACAGCGUCAAAUACAGCUUCCAGGAUUUUGCCCAUCAUUUCCGUGUGCUGUUACCUGCGGGCUUUCACUCCUCACAGACGGGGAUCAGACAGUUCCUGCAGAGCGUCGACCUCGAGCCCAACGGACAUCAAGUGGGCAGAAGCACGGUGUUCCUGCGGGAGCGUCUGCGGCAGCGUCUGCAGGAGCAGCUUCAUCAGGAGGUGUUGAGGAGGAUCGUGUGUCUGCAGAGGAGCUUCAGGACGCAGCAGGAGAGGAGACGCUUCUGCAGACAGAGACGAGCCGCUACACUCAUACAGGUACACACUGCCUUUCAGGCGUGUGUGACUCGCGCUGACGCAGAGCUCCAGCAGGGGGCGGCGGUGUGUCUGCAGGCGGCCUGGAGAGGCUUCAGAGAGCGCCAGCUGUUCCAGCGGCGGAGGAGAGCGGCGCUGAUCAUCCAGACGAGCUGGAGGAGAGUCCUGCAGACACGACACUCGGCCGCGUGCCUCAUACAGUCCUCCUGGAGGAGCCUCAGACAGAGACGCCGCUUCCUGCAGCAGCGCCGCGCCGCCGUCACGCUACAGGCCGCCUGCAGGGGGCAGCGCGAGCGCCAGAGGUCAGUUAACACCUGCACCAAUGCCUUGCGACGUGGAGAGAAAAGCCUCUGUGAAAACACUGUGAGCAAAAGUUUACACGCCCAACAAAACCCAACCGAAGUCCAAGAGGAGAAAGGAGAAACUCAGCCGGCCGAAGCUCCCAGAAGCGUAGACGACAGCACGCUGAAGAGCCGCUCCAAACGUGAAAGCAGGAGACAGCGGGAGCUCCAGCAAGCCACCUUCAGUCUAGAGCUGCUCAAAGUGCGCUCCGCUUCAGUGGACGACGCGCUUCCCGCUCAGAUCCCGCUCUGCACACAUCUUCCCUCGGAGAGCCAAGACAGCUGCGAGCUCCUCGGCGAGCCCGAAGCUCGAGAGCUUUACGUGAGACACCCAUCAGCCAGAAACGAAACCAGAACCAGAUCUGAUAACUGUUUUGUUUCCCAUCUCAAGUCGUCUCAGAAAGAGCAGAAGAGGAUCCAGAAGACCAUGUCGUCAGGGGACCUUGGGAAAAUGGAUUCGCUCAGGAAGUCAAUCUCCCAAACCGACAGCAGGUCAGAUGGGAUUCAGUCCUUCUUUGACAACACUGGCCCCGUCUACAAUGGUUUCUCUCUCGCAGACUCUCCUCAGGGAAGCCGUGAGCCGUCGGAGCGCGGACGCGACAGCAAGGAGAACCGUGAGCCGAUGAUGGGCAUGAUGUCGAUGAAGAGGAGACGCAGUGUGAAGAUCAGUAGCGUGUCUCUAGAAUCGUCCGCCUGGCAGAACGACUCGCUGCACAUCCUCACCAGCACUGCAGACUAUCGCAGCAUGAACGACUUCCUCAUGAAGAAGGUCGAUCUAGAAGCUGAAGACAGUCAGAAGGACACACCUGUGGAUGUGGUUUUCAAGAAGGCGCUGAAAGAAUUUCGCCUCAACAUCUUCAACUCGUACUCUACUGCUCUGGCCAUGGAUGAUGGCAGGAGCAUUCGUUAUAAAGAUCUCCACGCUCUGUUUGAACACAUCUUAGAGAAGAACAUGCGUCUGGAGCAGAGAGACUGGAGCGAGUCGCCGGUUAAAGUCUGGGUCAACACCUUCAAAGUCUUCCUUGAUGAGUUCAUGAUGGAAUACAAGCCAAUGAAUGGAACCAUCAGCAAGGCUCCUAAACCUGAGAGGAAGAAGAGGAGGAAAAAGGAAUCAGACACCGUGGAAGAGCACAUGGGUCACAUCUUUAAAUCCACUCAGUACAGCAUCCCGACCUACUGCGAGUUCUGUUCGUCUCUCAUCUGGAUGAUGGACAAAGCGUGUGUCUGCAAACUCUGUCGCUAUGCAUGUCACAGGAAGUGCUGUCUGAGGAUGACCACCACAUGCAGUAAGAAGUUUGACCCCGAGCUGUCUUCACGGCAGUUUGGAGUAGAGUUGUCUCGUUUAACGAGCGAUGAGAGAGCCGUCCCCCUGGUGGUGGAGAAGCUGAUCAACUACAUCGAGAUGCACGGCCUGUACACCGAGGGCAUCUACAGGAAGUCUGGAUCCACCAAUAAAAUCAAAGAACUCAAGCAGGGGCUGGACACCGAUGCGAACAGCGUGAAUUUAGAUGACUACAACAUCCAUGUGAUCGCCAGCGUGCUGAAGCAGUGGCUGCGUGACCUUCCCAACCCCCUCAUGACCUUUGAACUCUACGAGGAGUUUCUCAGGGCUAUGGGUCUGCAGGAUAAGCGUGAGGUGGUUCAGGGGGUUUAUUCGGUCAUCGAUCAGCUCAGCCGGACUCACCUGAGCACACUGGAGAGACUCAUAUUCCACCUGGUCCGGAUCUCAUUCCAGGAGGAGACGAACCGCAUGUCUUCAAACGCACUGGCCAUCGUGUUUGCACCGUGCAUACUGCGCUGUCCCGACACCACCGACGUAAUUGAAACUUUAUAUCUCACAAUUCAGGAACUGAUCAUCUGCGAGCAGAUGAGGAAAUAUAAAGCCCGUCUGAAGGAUAUCAACACACUGGAGUUUGCCGAGAACAAAGCCAAGAGUCGUCUGACGCACAUCCGGAGAUCUAUGGUGAGAGAUACGACCCUCUCAGAGGAAGAACUGACCUUUGAGAUGCUGGCUCUGGAUCCCAGAGCGUCGGAUGACGAGAUGCUGGAGUCGGAAGCGUCCAUCGGAACUGCAGACAGCUCGGAAAACCUCAUGGAGUCGGAAGGUGCCGCGUCCGAUCAAUGGGAAAAAAGCCCCGGGGCGUCAUCUGCGACACGCUGGAGGAAGUCCGAGUCCAAAAGCAGACGCGGUUUACGCCGUCAGCCUGAAUCUCUGGACUCUGUGGACUCGGCCGUAGCCUCGCUGUCCUCCGUGUCGUCCACGCCUCACUAUCGCUUUCGCUCGUCCUCUUCUGGGCCGCUGUUUUCGUCAGCCUCUCCUGGGGACUUGCACAUCCUCCCCGACCAGGAGGGCUCCGGACAGGCUUCCCUGACCACUCGAUGUGCCUCCAGCUGCGAGAAAACCCCUCCCCGGCCCAGAGGGAACCGAAGCUGCCCGCCAAAAACCCGCGAGCCGGGAGAAAGCAGCGGCGGCGGCCGGAGGAGAGAGCAUGACUUCGGUUCUUCUCAGCCUUUGGUGCUGUAUGGGAGUAAUGAAUUUAUGGUGUGACGACGAUGGUGUCCAACAUUAGCCGGAGCUGGUAAAGCAGAAGCACCAGUGGAUGUCCUGAAAGAGAAAAUGCUUGGAAAUCAGCCUUCAGUUGCUUGCCCUUAAGGAAGGUACUAAAAACAAUGCUGAAGGACCUGCUGACUGUAACGGACCUGCUGGACCGGUCUGUUUUCACAACAAGAAUAGCUGAACAGGGAAAGAGCGAUUUUUAACGUCCAUUUUCAUGUUUACAGAACUGAGCCAAUGAGAAGUCAAGCCACUUCAACUGACUGCAUGCCGUAUUGCUACCAUAUUGUUUUCACUCUAUGAUUAAAACCUUUGAUAAAGUGCUAAAUAUGUAAAAUAAUAUUAUAUUAUUGACAAGGGUCGAACGAAUCGUGUAAAUAGCUGAAAUCCCUGUGCUGCUGGUUGAACCAUGUGAAAAUAACGUCUUUUUGUGUUGCAGAUUGAAAACUAGGGCGAAUCUGGUGUGUGUGUGUGUGUGUGUGUGUGUGUGUUGUUUCUUAUGGGUCUGACACAAACGCACACGAUUUAGGUCUUAUUUCAUUCCAUUUUUGCAUAAUGCAAACAAUCUUGGUUUUCUAUGCAAAAUCGGUUUGAUUGUGGGGUGAAAUCUGACCCCGGGCAUGUGCUUUAACCCACGUUUUUUGCUUUUUUUGCUUUGUUUUCCAUUCAGAUGAAAAAGCAAAAUUUUGAUAAGGGAUGAAAAGUCAGAUGUGUGUUUUUCUGUAGUUUUACUUGACAUCCUUUUUUCUUUUUUUCUCAUCAGUGUUAUGCACAACCAAAUCAGGACUUUUGUUUUUUUGGUAAAUUGCUUUUUUUUUUAAAGUAUAUUGUGUUUUACACAUGCUGAUAUUUUAUUGUGAAUUUCAAGUAUAUUAAUAUUUUUGGUGUUCCAUCGUGCCAUCUGGAGUCACACGUUUAGUUGGCCAUAACAUCCUUUCUGUUAAAAAAACUUAGAUUUAAUUUAGGGCUGAUUUAUCACAAACAUCCUCUGCUGUGGAUUUUUACCCUUUAAACUGUCAUUAGUAGAUUAACAUGCAAACGUAUAGCAGUAAAGUACAUAGAAAAACAAGGACACGUAAUAGCAAAAAGCUCAAAGCUUCACUAUAUAGUACGUUUACGCAGUCGACAUUGCUGUCUAUGUGCAGGGAAUGUGUCUCCAGAAGCUGUUUACUCUUUUCGAUGUGCUGUUACAGAUAUCUAUGUCUAUAUCUAUGUCAUAUCAGUCAUAGCCUAUUGCAAGAAACCAUCACCAUGGUGCAAUAUCACAAGAGACAUUAAGCUAUGUUUUUAUGUUCUGGUAAGUAUACUUGGGUACUGUCCUAAACUUUAAGUCCACUAAUGCUCAAAAGCGGGCGGUGAGAAGGAAACGGUUGCUUGUUGCGUCCUGCAUAAGUGAAUGUGAUCACUGUAGCAUGCCACACUAUUAUCAAGUUUCUCUUUUACAGCUACUGUAUUUAAGACCACGUUUGAGGCCGGAAACAUACUCUGUGCAGAAACGCAAACCUGGAUGCAGUUACUAACGGUGCGGUCAAGUUUUUGUGGAAAAGGUUAUCCAUUGCUACUGGACUGCUAUUUGAAUGACUGGAUUUCGUCUGCAAAAUUUCGCCAUGUGAGAGUAAAAGUCACUGCAACCUUUUACUGUGGCUUCAUAACACUUUGAGUUAUGGAGGGCAUAAAAAGAAAAUAAAUAAUAACAUGCUUAAGUGACUCA
ensembl:lncRNA